rnacentral:rRNA from 1 species
CCUACGGGAGGCAGCAGUGGGGAAUAUUGCUCAAUGGGCGAAAGCCUGACGCAGCAACGCCGCGUGGAGGAUGAAGGUCUUAGGAUUGUAAACCUCUUUUGUGAGAGAAGAUAAUGACGUUAUCUCACGAAUAAUGAAUGGCUAAUACCGUGCCAGCAGCCGCGGUAAUACGGAGGGUGCAACGGUUACCCGGAAUCACUGGGCGUAAAGUGUGCGUAGGCGGUAUUGUAAGUCAUUUGUGAAAUCCUGGAGCUGAACGACAGAAUUGCAUUUGAAACUGUAAAUUUAGAGUGUGGGAGAGGUAGGUGGAAUUCGUGGUGUAGGGGUAAAAUCCGUAGAUAUCAAGAGGAAUA